rnacentral:rRNA from 1 species
CGAGUGGCGGACGGGUGAGUAAUGUCUGGGAAACUGCCCGGUGGAGGGGGAUAACUACUGGAAACGGUAGCUAAUACCGCAUAACGUCGCAAGACCAAAGAGGGGGACCUUCGGGCCUCUUGCCACCGGAUGUGCCCAGAUGGGAUUAGCUUGUUGGUGAGGUAACGGCUCACCAAGGCGACGAUCCCUAGCUGGUCUGAGAGGAUGACCAGCCACACUGGAACUGAGACACGGUCCAGACUCCUACGGAAGGCAGCAG